rnacentral:rRNA from 1 species
CACGUAGGAGGCGAGCGUUGUCCGGAAUCAUUGGGCGUAAAGAGCGUGUAGGCGGUUCGGUAAGUCGGCUGUGAAAGUCCAGGGCUCAACCCUGGGAUGCCGGUCGAUACUGCCGGACUAGAGUUCGGAAGAGGCGAGUGGAAUUCCCGGUGUAGCGGUGAAAUGCGCAGAUAUCGGGAGGAACACCUAUGGCGAAGGCAGCUCGCUGGGACGUUACUGACGCUGAGACGCGAAAGCGUGGGGAGCAAACAGG